GACGAACGCUGGCGGCGUGCCUAAUACAUGCAAGUCGAACGCUGAAGGAGGAGCUUGCUCUUCUGGAUGAGUUGCGAACGGGUGAGUAACGCGUAGGUAACCUGCCUGGUAGCGGGGGAUAACUAUUGGAAACGAUAGCUAAUACCGCAUAACAGUAGAUGUUGCAUGACAUUUGCUUAAAAGGUGCAAUUGCACCACUACCAGAUGGACCUGCGUUGUAUUAGCUAGUUGGUGGGGUAACGGCUCACCAAGGCGACGAUACAUAGCCGACCUGAGAGGGUGAUCGGCCACACUGGGACUGAGACACGGCCCAGACUCCUACGGGAGGCAGCAGUAGGGAAUCUUCGGCAAUGGACGGAAGUCUGACCGAGCAACGCCGCGGGAGUGAAGAAGGUUUUCGGAUCGUAAAGCUCUGUUGUAAGAGAAGAACGAGUGUGAGAGUGGAAAGUUCACACUGUGACGGUAUCUUACCAGAAAGGGACGGCUAACUACGUG
rnacentral:rRNA from 1 species